rnacentral:tRNA from 2 species
GCGGGGAUGGCGGAACGGCAGACGCAGCCGUCUUAAAAACGGCAGGGAAGACCUCCCGUGCGGGUUCGAGUCCCGCUCCCCGCACCA